AGAGUUUGAUCCUGGCUCAGAAUGAACGCUGGCGGCGUGCUUAACACAUGCAAGUCGAACGAGAAAUCUAUAGCUUGCUAUAGAGAGUAAAGUGGCGAACGGGUGAGUAACGCGUGGGAAUCUAUCUCCGAAUCUGGGAUAACAUGGUGAAAGCGAUGUUAAUACCGGAUAACAUCCCUGCUCUGCGGGGAUCAAAGAUGGCCAAUACAUGUAAGCUAUUGUUUGGAGAAGAGCCCGCGUACCAUUAGCUUGUUGGUGGGGUAAUGGCCUACCAAGGCUACGAUGGUUAGCUGGUCUGAGAGGACGAUCAGCCACAUUGGAACUGACACACGGUCCAGACUCCUACGGGAGGCAGCAGUGAGGAAUUUUGCGCAAUGGGGGAAACCCCGACGCAGCAACGCCGCGUGAGUGAGGAAGGCUUUCGAGUCGUAAAGCUCUGUCGAGCGGGAAGAAACUAUAGGCAUACUAAAAUGUGCUUAUAUUGACGGUACCGCUAAAGGAAGCACCGGCUAACUCCGUGCCAGCAGCCGCGGUAAUACGGGGGGUGCUAGCGUUAUUCGGAUUUACUGGGCGUAAAGGGCGCGUAGGUGGUUUCGUAAGUUGGAUGUGAAAGCCCAGGGCUUAACUCUGGAAGCGCAUUCAAAACUACGGGACUUGAGUAUGGGAGAAGGAAGUGGAAUUCCUGGUGUAGAGGUGAAAUUCAUAGAUAUCAGGAGGAACACCGGUGGCGAAGGCGACUUCCUAGACCAAUACUGACACUGAGGCGCGAAGGCGUGGGGAGCAAACAGGAUUAGAUACCCUGGUAGUCCACGCAGUAAACGGUGAUCACUAGGUGUGGCGGGUGAUUAUCCCGCCGUGCCGCAGUUAACGCAUUAAGUGAUCCGCCUGGGGAGUACGAUCGCAAGAUUAAAACUCAAAGGAAUUGACGGGGGCCCGCACAAGCGGUGGAGCAUGUGGUUCAAUUCGACGCAACGCGAAGAACCUUACCUGGGUUUGACAUCUCGGGAAUUUAAUUGAAAAAUUAAAGUGCCUUCGGGAGCCCGAAGACAGGUGCUGCAUGGCUGUCGUCAGCUCGUGUCGUGAGAUAUUGGGUUAAGUCCCGCAACGAGCGCAACCCUUAUCUUUAGUUGCCAGCAUGUAAUGAUGGGAACUCUAGAGAUACUGCCCCGGUAAACGAGGAGGAAGGUGGGGAUGACGUCAAGUCCUCAUGGCCUUUAUGCCCAGGGCUACACACGUGCUACAAUGGAGUGUACAAAGGGUAGCAAUCCUGCAAAGGUGAGCCAAUCCCAUAAAGCACUUCUCAGUUCGGAUUGGAGUCUGCAACUCGACUCCAUGAAGUUGGAAUCGCUAGUAAUCGCGGAUCAGCAUGCCGCGGUGAAAUACGUUCCCGGGCCUUGUACACACCGCCCGUCACACCAUGAGAGUUGAUUGUACCGGAAGACGUUGAGCAAACCUUCGGGAUGCAGGCGUCUAUGGUAUGAUUGAUGAUUGGGGUGAAGUCGUAACAAGGUA
rnacentral:rRNA from 1 species